rnacentral:lncRNA from 1 species
GUUCAUAUGCAAUUUUUCUGCUAAUAUAUAUUGGCACCAAAUACAUAAAUUCAAACAUUUACUUCCAAAAUUUUCUUGAUUGGGAUGUAUAGUUAUUAGCAAUCUUCCACUGUCACAGGUGAGGGCACUGUAAGAACAGGCUGGCAAACAUCUGAAUGAAUGGCUCCUCCUGUACCAUGUCUGACUCAGGACCCAGAAGGUUCUUCAAACCGAAGACAAAUUUCAAGGGGAAGAUUAUGCAGCUGCAGACUUCUUUUUUCUUUUUUCCCCACAGCCCAUGGGGGUAAUGAAAGGGGAAAUCACAUGAGGUUUUAUCACCUGCGCUCCUUCCACUGAAAGGCUCAUUCUCUUCAUAGUGGGACUUUCUUCUAGGGUGGCUCUGUUUAGUGCCUUUGCUGUCUUCCAGGGACUUCCCUGAAAAAAUUGGAGUAGGUUGUGGAGUGUCAGGGAAAGGGGAAUACCAACAUGACUUUCAAAAUUCAAACAAGAAUAUUUGUGGUUGUGCAUCCACCUAUAUGAAAGCCCUGUGCAAUGUGAGCUGUACUCUAAAUUGAAACUGGUAGUUAUAAAUAAUAUUAUUAACAUUCCCCAAAUACUAACGCACUCAAGUCAAGAUUAGUAUAUAUAUAGUUGUAGGUGUGUCCAUGUUAUUCAUUUCGAAAUUCUUCCUGAAGAUUGUUAAGGACAAAAAGAGAUGAAAACCUCCUAAACCAGUGACUCUGAUUAUAGACUGUAUAAAAUAUCGGAAUGAUUUUUAUUAAUUAAUUUAGGAUUUUUUGGAAUAUCUACUAAGGGCCCAGCACUAUGCUAGGAGUACAUAGUCUCUCUUACUGUUCCUUUCUCUUCUCUGUACUUACCUGUGUUACUUUACUCAACCCCUACUGCAAAAGCUCUGAGAGGCCUCUGUCAGCUCUCUGGAAAGUCUCUGCUUAGAAACAGAGAGCUCUCUGUGUUGUACCUCUCGGGAACAAAAGUGUGAUAGCUGAUGGCUGAACUGGGUGCAAAAACAGAAAAAAAUAGAGCUGAGUCAACUGCCAACUGGAAACAGCUCCUUCCUAAUUCAAAUGAACUUCUUUAUUUGUGUAAUAUUGCCUUCAACUACCAGGAUUGCUUUGGAAAAAGUCUAUUCUCUCUGAAAACACAAGGUUAGAAACGAGCUAGGAGUGCAAAAUGUAGGGGUGGAAUACCAAAGAAUCUAUAACAUUUAUUGUCAAAAAUUAUAAUUUUUUUUCUGCAGGCUUUUGUAUUCUCAGUCCACGAGAAGAGCUGAAGGGAAGCAAAUUUUCAAUUCAAGGCUUGAGAAUACAUUUUACGCACCUAUAUAUAUUGCCAGAGGCGGGAUUUAAAUUCUCUCGGAUUUCUGUAAUUGGUGUCAUGGUAACGCAGUAGAGGGCUUCAGUGUGGUUUCAGGUGUUUUAGUUUAUUUGUUUUUAUUUAUUUUUUCUGAUAAUGUUAGAUUCUUGUUAAAAAUUUUCUUGUUAAAUGAACUUUGGUAUAGAAUUAACGUUUUCCACCCAGACUUCCCCUAGAAAAAAUAGCAAUUGUGUCACUGUAGGAGUACUAUAACCAGGAUAUACCUACUAAUUUGUUGAUGGCCAAUUUUUAAAAUAUGCUAUGAUGUAGAUUCCAUUAUUGCCACCAAUAGCUUAUAAGAAAGUGUCCUUACCUUUUCACAAAUGAAAGGAAUAUCCAUUUUGGCUGAAUGCAAUUAUUUUACUAACAUGAUUAACUAAAAUAUGUGGCAUGGAAAUAAAAUUCUUACAUAAAAGCA